CUUUGUAUCUAUUAUAGGACUUUUGAUUGUUGCUGCUGCUGCUGUUGUUGUUGGGACAAUGGAGAGAAGGCACAGGGAAGAGACAAGGUCAAGAGUAACAGGAUGGAUGCAAAUCAAGAAGACAAAGUGCAAGGCAGAAAAUGAUGAGUGCUACCUUCCCAGGAAGGCUGAAGAAUACUUUGAUGAAUGUUAACCAAAGGAAGGACUAAAAGCCACAGGACACUAGAGCAAAUCAAGGUUUUCUGCCCACCUCUGCCCUUGGUUAUCAGUGAGACGGCCUUUCUGGUGUCUGUAUUCCAUUCAUGUUCUUCAAAACCCAUUAUUAACAACUCCCACACCAAGGCCAGGGGACCUCGAGGAGGUUGAGGUGGAAGGAGUGUAGAGCCAGGGUGUAGAGCCAGGGUGUUAGUGGAUGUACUUUGAGAAUGAGUUAUGGGUCAUCAACAAUAGCAUGCCAGAGCUUCUUAAUUUUAACUCUGACUUGGUAGCCAUUGAUCGGUACUUCCCCAUCUCUCCCUUUCUUAUUACGUUAACAGCAGUUCUCUUCUCAACCCACAUAAGAUCAAUUUCCUACACACCAGUCGUCUAUGUGUGGCUUGUUUCACCUACGUUAGGCUCUUGCAUUACAUAAUGAUUAUUUCUGUCUGUACUCAUGUGUGCUAACCUGCUUCCUAAAAUAGUACCUUUUUCUAAUGCUCCGAUGUCGUCAGUAUUUUGUGGGGCAUGGACUUGUCCAUAGUGGAUGUCUUACGUCUUUGAACUUCUUAAGUGUUUUAAUUUUUCAUUUCCCCCAUUAUCAUUCUCAUGUCUGCGCUACUAUGUGUGGAAAUUGUUGCUCAACCAUUGUCCUCUACCUCUGAGUUCACUGUUAGCAAGGACGUGGGGUUCUCUUCCUUCCUGUGCACAUCUUUGUGUAAUUCAGUCCCGGAUUUUCUCCAUGAGUGGUGUUAACCAGGGGCAAGCUUUCUUACUGACUUUGACACUUGUAUGUUUUCGGGUGAUGAUGUAAGAUUCACGUGAUGGCAUUUCUUUCUAAGCUCAAUCCCAGAAUCUUAAGGGAGAGUAUUAUGCACUUACGUUUAUAUUUAUUUGUGUGUGUUUCUGUGUUUGUGUGUGUGUAUGUCUGUGCACACAUGUACCAGUAUGCUACUGCAGUCAUGUUAAAACCAGAAGAAAUCUUACAGGUGUCAGGUUUUUUCUUCUAUUAUGUGGGUCCUGGGGGUUAAACUCAGGUCACCAAGCUUAUAUCAUAUAACAUGUUAUAUGUAGUCAUAUAUUAUAUGUAGUAAUACAAUAUAUUUAAUAUUAUUUAUAUAUAUUAUAUAUUAGUAUUUAUAUAUUUAUAUUAUAUAUUAUAUACACAAAAUGUAUUGUAUAAUAUUGUUAUAUUAUAUAUUGAUAUGUUAUAAUAUAUUAUAUAUUAUAUUUAUUAUCAUCACAUAUUAUAUAAUUAAUCUAUAUUAUAUAUCAUGUUAAUUAAUCAUAUAAUUGUUUAUAUACAUUAAUUGUAUAAUGUUAUUGUUUAUAUAUAAUAUGUUAUAUAUAUUAAUAUAUAUUAUUUCCAUGGAAAAAUUCGUGUUAUAUUGUUUAUAUGCAUUAAUCAUAUAAUUGUUUAUAUACAUUAAUUGUAUAAUAUUAUUGUUUAUAUAUAAUAUGUUAUAUAUAUUAAUAUAUAUUAUUUCCAUGGAAAAAUUCGUGUUAUAUUGUUUAUAUGCAUUAAUCAUAUAAUUGUUUAUAUACAUUAAUUGUAUAAUAUUAUUGUUUAUAUAUAAUAUGUUAUAUAUAUUAAUAUAUAUUAUUUUCAUGGAAAAACAUAUCUAAAGUUGUCUGCAAUCUUUUCUGCAAAUUUCAUCAAAUUUUCAUACUACAAAAUCACUAGAAAUUUGAAUCUAUCCUGGUACCAAAUAAACUUUUCCCAAGUAAAAAUAGGAAACCUAUAAAAAGCAUCUUCACUCCAGGUUGAAAAUUUCUAAAACGUAUUGUACUAAGCCUGUGCAUUGUCACCCCUUACCUUCUUUGAGUUUUUGAUUGUGGAAAGGCAAAACUCAGUAUUAUUUAGUAUGCACUAUUUAUUGACAAUAGGAUUUGUUAGUGGCUUUAAAAAUGUAAGCUCUCCUGUAAUCUACUGUUUAAAUAAAUUUAUUAAAUUCUUCAAAAAAUUAAAAAUAAAAUUUAGAUUAUGAAAAUCUCAGUUUAGUGCCCAUUUCAGGAGAUUUAGUUUGGUUGAAAUGAUCCAAGGUUAAAAAACUCAAUCUAAGAUGGGCUAAACGAGCAAAAGUGUACAGCAUCAAACCACAAUAUUCUCUAUUUGGUCCUCGCUUCCUAACGCAGAUUUUAACAUUUGGUUACGUCUAAAUGUGAAACUCAGCUUUUCUGACGGUAAAAUAUCGUUGUUUUCAUAUCAUUCAUCCAUAGCUUUCUCAGAGGCCGCCAGCAGAGACCCCAGCCCUGCCUCACACUGAACGACCUCCCAGAGUUUCCUCUCAAAUCUUUUGGGGACGCUUCUACGACUUUACAACCCUUAUAUAUUAGAUGCCUGUAAAGCCAUAAUCAUAUGGAAAAUGGCAAGGGAGGGUUCCACCAGCUUGAGCAAUUAACUGGUGGACCCUCUGGUACCGUAGAAUGCAGAGUCUGUGUCCCUCGGCAAUCGAACAUGGGAAAGUGGAUUUGGAGAGUUUCCUGGGUAGCAUUGUUUGGACCAUGCAUCUCGAGACUCCGUUCUGAACACAUCUUCGAGGCUGUGAUGGGCAGGGCUUGCUGAUUUAUGCAGUGACCACAAGACCUCUUUCUUACUGUCCCAGAACAAAAUACUUGCUUCCUUAUUUGGUUGGUUGGUCGGUUGGUCGGUUGGUCAGUUUUUCUACAAGGUCUGGUCAUAACCUUGCAAAAUCUGGGAUUGUGCCAUCAUACUGGGCUUAUCCAUUUUGUCCUAUUCCAGAUAAAGUUACUGUAAGCAUUCCCAUAAGAACCUCUAUUAGUUAUGUAGUGGAGAGUGUCGGCUGUGCCUCAGGGUAUUCUAACACUUAGCUUUUCUUACCGUCAGUUGCCCAUGGUGACGGCUUUAGUUGAUAUUCUCCACACGCAUGCGCGCUUUGUCAUUCCAUAGGCUCACAGCCCUUACCUUAUCAGUCAUUGAAAUCGACCCAGUGUGUGGUUUCCAUCUCCUGACACCAUCUGUUCACUGAGAUGUGGUUGGAAAAGCCCUGUGAACAAGGUGACCUCAUAUAAAUGGCAGAAUCAGCUUGUCAGGACAGUAGAUCUGGCUCAGCAGUGAGGGCGAGCACUGCUCUUUCAAAAGACCUGAUUUUGAGAUGCAGCUCCCAUGUCAGGUGGUACAGCUGUCUCUAACGCCAGCUCUAAUGCGAUCUGAUGCCUCUACCCUCCACAAGCACCCACAACCACAUACACAUACCCACACAGACACACAAAUACAGAAAUAAAAAAUUAUAUACUUUUAAAAA